rnacentral:rRNA from 1 species
CCCUUAGAUGUUCUGGGCUGCACGCGCGCUACACUGACACACCCAGCGAGUCUCCUGCCCUGACAGGGUUGGGUAAUCAUUGGAGUGUGUGUCGUGAUGGGGAUAGAGUAUUGCAAUUAUUGCUCUCGAACGAGGAAUUCCUAGUAAGCACAAGUCAGCAGCUUGUGCUGAUUACGUCCCUGCCCUUUGUACACACCGCCCGUCGCUCCUACCGAGGGGGUGAUCCGGUGAAUGAUUCGGACUUUGGCGUUUCUAGCUGCUAGCAGCGCUGAAGAAAGUUUUGUGAACCUUAUCACUUGGAGGAAGGAAAAGUCGUAACA